AAACGACACGGUAAUGGAUUCUGCCGGGCCAUCGUGGCCGAACCGCUUCCGAGAGAAGCUGAUGACUCCUACUCAACU
rnacentral:ncRNA from 2 species